rnacentral:rRNA from 1 species
AGUCACUGGACAUUAGAUACCCGGGUAGUCCAGGGUGUAAACGCUGCAGACUUGGUGUUGGAGGCCCUUUGGGGGCAUUCAGUGCCGGAGAGAAGUUGUUAAGUCUGCUACUUGGGGAGUACGUCCGCAAGGAUGAAACUUAAAGGAAUUGGCGGGGGAGCACCGCAACGGGAGGAGCGUGCGGUUUAAUUGGAUUCAACACCGUAAACUCACCAGGGAAGACUGUUACAUGAAGGCCGAGAUGAAGACUCUGCUAGAUUUUCAG